rnacentral:sRNA from 1 species
GCGAAUUUAAUUAUCAGGUUAAUUAGCACAGCUCUUACCUCAGAUGUAUUUCUUUAUGUUAGGGACAUUCUCCUUUCUCAAUGACUUUGAAAUAUGCACUUAACGAUUAUCAGCCCUGGUUCUUCUUCCUACCUGAGUGCACCCCUGUGUCCACUGACUGUGCUCUUUACAUCCCUUUCCAGGCUGGAGACCUGCAGCAAAGCUCUGUGUGCUUUCCAAACCCCAAGCUGAUUCCCCCGAGUGAAGAGCCUUUUACAACUGUCAUUCUCAAUAUCACCACCUUGUCUACUGUGGCACUUCAUGUUUUAAAUUCCCCAAAAGGCCCAUGUGCUUGAGACUUGAUCCUGGACAUGUAAAGCCAUUAGGGGACCUUUGGGUAAGUAGAACAAAAUUGGCAUACGCUGGGAUAUGGUGACCCUGGAUUUCUCUUCUUUAUCACAUCUUGGCCACUGUGAAGGAUGCACACCACCAGGACAUGCUACCUCACCAUUAGCCCCACAACCACGAGCUAAUUAACAAUGGACUGACACUUCCAAUUGUGUCUUUUCACCGGGAAAUUGAAACAAACAUCUAUUCACCCCAGAUACUGCACCAAUGACAGAACUGCAGUCCCACUGAAGUCCAACUUUGAAAACCUAGGAAUUUAUUUAUAUUUACCUAUAGAGUAUGGGUAAGUUAGGUGUCUACAAAAUAGAUGUCACCCUCAUGGCUGUGUCAUGGACUCCCCUCUCAACCCUCCAUUCUCCAUAUAUUCUAGCACCUCCCAACCUCAUUUGCAGGAAGGAAUAAUGGCUGGGUUUCCGGAUGAGGGUCCUUUGACUUCCUGUCUGCCAUUCUAUAAGGAAAUGUCCACAGCUCCAUUGUCAUAAUCAUAGACAUAGCUACCUCUGGACUGGUCCACUCGAUUACUUGCCAGAGCUACCAAGCCAUGGUAACUCAACUCUAAGAUGGCAAUGGGGUAAGCUUGUUAUACCUAGAAGAAAAGAAACUAAAAUCAACUUCUCUCCUUUGAGGUUGAUUAUCUUACGUAUAGUAACAGGAAGCUGACCUACUUUCUCCUUGUCUAAAGGGGUCAGCUUGCCUUCCCUGGGUAGAUGCUAAAUGCUGUUCCUCAAGUUCCUGAUUCCACUUUUCUUUCUCCCCAGCAGUGUCUUUUGGGGCUUUCAGAUUAAUCAGCUUCCAUUUCAGAACCUGCUACUCCUCUGUUCCCUUCCCGUCGAGUCAUAGGACAAACUCCAUGAUAGUGUGUUCCUUUCCCAAACAUCUCCAGCCUGUGAUGUCUUCCCUUCAGCUGCCAGCGAGAGUCCUGUUAACCAGCCAAUCUUGAAAUUCCUCUGAAGACAGAUAAGAAACACAUUUGCUCUUGAAACAGCUCCCCGGCACAUUUAAAUGUACCCAUUCUGUUGCUUUCUGUUUGCUCAGAGCCUUGGCUAUAGGAUGGAGACCGAGUUUCAGUGACAGAUGGUGGAGGAUAAUCUUUCAUUUUGUCAUAAAGGUAACCCUCUGAGGAGCCUGGAAAAGACUUUCCACUUGGAAAAUCUGGCUGAAUAAGGCAUGUUUGUAACCAGAUGGAAAGGGGGGAAAGGCUCUUUUUCUAUUUUUCAAGCUAGAGGGCUUACAUGCCUUUACUUUUAGGCGAACCUCACUAUGACAAUCUGUCCUCUGCACUCAGAUUUAUUUGUGACACCAUCAGUGCCUGUGCAUGUUAAUUAAUGAUGAUUGCACUGUGCUUGAACCCCAGCAAUAAAUAAGAAAAUGAGGCUAUUAAAGAUAAUCCAAUAAACAAACCCAUGAAAA